CCUAGCCCUUCUAAAAUCAAACCUGCUUUAUGCUGUUGUUCAGAAAGUCACCGUUCAGGUGGCUAUGAUGAUCCAAAUCAAUGUGCAUUAUUUACUUGAUGUAUCAACCUGCCAUGUGCAUUGCGGAGAGAUGGCUUUGUCAUGGCCUUGCUUUUCAAGAUCCACAAUGUCAGCAUUGAGGAGAUCCAGGGAAAUCCACCAGGUGUGCCCUAGCUUCAGCCACACCCACAAAUGUGGCCCAUCAUAAUGUGGUCCAGACCGUUGAUAUAGCAGCCCCCACUAUUGGUCCUUCAUGCAUCACAGAAUCUCCGCCAGCAGGUUGCC